rnacentral:rRNA from 1 species
GAUGAACGCUGGCGGCGUGCUUAACACAUGCAAGUCGAGCGAACGGACUAGACUCUUGCGGCUUGGUCGCAAGCGGCGGGCGGGUGAGUCACACGAGGAAAACCUCCCUAUAUGACUGGUAUCACCUCGAGAAACCGGCGCUUAUACUGGAUAAUAUUCUGAACCGCAUGGUGCUAUAGCAAAAUACGGUGUUGAGGUCUCGUAUAGAUGCAUCCGCGCUGCUUUAGGUAGCUGGUAAGGUAAAGGCUUACCAAGGGAACGAUGCAUAGCCGAGUUGAGAGGGUGGUCGGCCACACGGGAAGUGGGACUCUCUCCAUACUCCUACGGGAGGCACCAGUAGGGAAUCUUCCGCAAUGGGCGAAAACCUGCCGGAGUAACCCCGCGAGUGUGACGAAGAUCUUCGGAUCGUAAAACUCUCUUAUUAGGGAAGAACAUAUGUGUAAUUAACUGUAGCCUUCUUGACGGUACCUAAUCAAAAAGCCCCGGCUAACUACGUG